GCGCCCGUAGCUCAGUUGGCAGAGCACCUGCCUUUUAAGCAGUGGGUCGGGAGUCCGAGUCUCCCCGGGCGCA
rnacentral:tRNA from 1 species